rnacentral:rRNA from 1 species
AGGACACUCUAUACGGAGUUACAAAGGACGACAUUAGACGAAUCAUCUGGAAAGAUGAAUCAAAGAAGGUAAUAAUCCUGUAGUCGAAAAUGUUGUCUCUCUUGAGUGGAUCCUGAGUACGACGGAGCACGUGAAAUUCCGUCGGAAUCUGGGAGGACCAUCUCCUAAGGCUAAAUACUCUCUAGUGACCGAUAGUGAACCAGUACCGUGAGGGAAAGGUGAAAAGCACCCCGGAAGGGGAGUGAAAUAGAACCUGAAACCGUGUGCUUACAAGUAGUCAGAGCCCGUUAAUGGGUGAUGGCGUGCCUUUUGUAGAAUGAACCGGCGAGUUACGAUUUGAUGCAAGGUUAAGCAGUAAAUGUGGAGCCGUAGCGAAAGCGAGUCUGAAUAGGGCGUUUAGUAUUUGGUCGUAGACCCGAAACCAGGUGAUCUACCCUUGGUCAGGUUGAAGUUCAGGUAACACUGAAUGGAGGACCGAACCGACUUACGUUGAAAAGUGAGCGGAUGAACUGAGGGUAGCGGAGAAAUUCCAAUCGAACCUGGAGAUAGCUGGUUCUCUCCGAAAUAGCUUUAGGGCUAGCCUCAAGUGAUGAUUAUUGGAGGUAGAGCACUGUUUGGACGAGGGGCCCCUCUCGGGUUACCGAAUUCAGACAAACUCCGAAUGCCAAUUAAUUUAACUUGGGAGUCAGAACAUGGGUGAUAAGGUCCGUGUUCGAAAGGGAAACAGCCCAGACCACCAGCUAAGGUCCCAAAAUAUAUGUUAAGUGGAAAAGGAUG